rnacentral:tRNA from 1 species
AGGGGUGUAGCUCAGUUGGUAGAGCAGCGGUCUCCAAAACCGCAGGUCGCGGGUUCGAAUCCUGCCGCCCCUG